rnacentral:rRNA from 1 species
UAAUACGGAGGAUGCAAGCGUUAUCCGGAUUCAUUGGGUUUAAAGGGUGCGCAGGCGGAAUGAUAAGUCAGUGGUGAAAUCCUACGGCUCAACUGUAGAACUGCCAUUGAUACUGUCGUUCUUGAGUACACUUGGAGUGGGCGGAAUGUGUCAUGUAGCGGUGAAAUGCUUAGAUAUGACACAGAACACCGAUCGCGAAGGCAGCUCACUAAAUUGUAACUGACGCUCAGGCACGAAAGCGUGGGGAUCAAACAGGAUUAGAUACCCUGGUAGUCCACGCUGUAAACGAUGAUCACUCGAUGUUGGCGAUAUACUGUCAGCGUCUAAGCGAAAGCAUUAAGUGAUCCACCUGGGGAGUACGAUCGCAAGAUUGAAACUCAAAUGAAUUGACGG